ACCGACACAGAACGAUGUCGCAACCCGCUCGCCGAUUUCGGUCUGCCCGUCGGUCAUCUCUAACGAUGGACCGAUAAUUAAGAUCGGACGUCGGUAUUAUUUACGCCCGCAGCAUCCUGACCUGCCUUGCGAUUCUCUAAAAGUCAAACAAGAACUCGCAUCUCACUACGAAAUUCUCCAUCACUUCGCAUUCGCAAUAGAAUGACCUUGAAUUGGCAUUCUGUAAACACUAAUCUUAAUUACUCUGCCUCGAGCGAAGUGAAGUGACAACGAAGUUUGUUUAUACUACUACUAGGGAUAGCCGUUAACACGCAAAUGUAAAUCGAAGCUUACCGGUUUCAGUUUUUCGUUGUAUUUAUAAGCAUUCUGUAAGAAAAUACCAUGAAUUUAAGCUUUGGUGUUAAAGCCACAUCUAAUUUAACUAAAAAGAAAAUUAAAAGUCAUAUAUUUAUGAUAUUAAUUGUAAUUUCUGGCUGCACGCUAAGUUCCUUUGCGUGCACUAGCGAAUACCAGAAUUAAAAAACAAAAUUUUAAUUGUUUUCAAAACAAUCUCGAGCGGUCGGAAGUUUUUAUUUUACUUUUUCUAGAUUUUUUGUUACUUUGUGAGUGAAUUUAACGUUAAAUAAAAAUUAUGAGAUUUAACGAGCGUUCUUCUCAUCCGACAUUGGUGCAAAUAGAGGCAUUGAUAGACGUUUUGGAUUAAAAGCUAGCGAAACAAAAGGUUUAAUCGUAUCUCAACAUGUUCAAUAAGAGAACAAGGAUAUUAAAAAAAUAUAGGAACUAAAUUCUCUUGUCAGAUAUGAUCCAUUCCCGGAACUACAACAGAUUGAAAAUAAUAAUCCACGUCAUCAGAAUAUUGUAAGGAGAAUUUAUUGCCAACUCGGAAAAUGUAUCAGUAUUGGAACAAUCCCAAACAUACAGCAUUGCAUCAAGAAUCACCUAUUUUGCAGUCAUCCUCCCCUAACUAAAUGCAAGUGACUUCUACUUAUUGUGAUGCUACUACUAGUAGCUCCAGCCACAGUAGGUCUCAUGUUAGUCAAGAGAUUGGGUUGUUAGCACCUCAACACCUGACCUGCUAUUUCACCACUUUUCAAUGAAAAGCAGAGUGUACUCAAAUUACAACAAAUUACACAGUACCAGGAUAUAUAACUUAAACAACCAUGGGGGAAUAAAUAGUCAACAGUCUGCAAGAAGGAUGAACUGUUGGUGGAAUUAGCAUAUGCAGCUAGGAAUUUUAAACCUGUAUUUCCACACAUUACUGAUGCAAACAAAUUUCAAAAUUAUUGUAUAUAACUAUUGAAUAAAACUAUAAUAAAACUA